rnacentral:rRNA from 1 species
UACAGAGGGGGCAAGCGUUUAUUCGGAAUUAUUGGGCGUAAAGGGCGCGUAGGCGGCUUUGCAAGUGGCGGGUGAAAUCCCUCGGCUUAACCGGGGAACUGCCUGCCAGACUGUGAGGCUUGAGACCGGGAGAGGUGAGUGGAAUUCCCAGUGUAGCGGUGAAAUGCGUAGAUAUUGGGAGGAACACCAGUGGCGAAGGCGGCUCACUGGACCGGAACUGACGCUGAGGCGCGAAAGCGUGGGGAGCAAACAGG